rnacentral:rRNA from 1 species
GAUGAACGCUGACAGAAUGCUUAACACAUGCAAGUCGACUUGAACUUCGGUUUGGGUGGCGGACGGGUGAGUAACGCGUAAAGAACUUGCCUCACAGCUAGGGACAACAUUUGGAAACGAAUGCUAAUACCUGAUAUUAUGAUUUUAGGGCAUCCUAGAAUUAUGAAAGCUAUAUGCGCUGUGAGAGAGCUUUGCGUCCCAUUAGCUAGUUGGAGAGGUAACGGCUCACCAAGGCGAUGAUGGGUAGCCGGCCUGAGAGGGUGAACGGCCACAAGGGGACUGAGACACGGCCCUUACUCCUACGGGAGGCAGCAGUGGGGAAUAUUGGACAAUGGACCAAGAGUCUGAUCCAGCAAUUCGGUGUGCACGAUGAAGUUUUUCGGAAUGUAAAGUGCUUUCAGUUGGGAAGAAAAAAAUGACGGUACCAACAGAAGAAGUGACGGCUAAAUACGUG